rnacentral:lncRNA from 1 species
AGGAUAUAUAGGCUCAUAGACAUUACUUGUUGUGGAGGAUUUUGACAUUGGAAGUUGAUAACAACACAUAAAAUGCCACCCAGUUGAUAGCUUUAAGUGAAGAUGCACUGAAAAGUGGAGCGUACAUUGUAUGUGAUCGUACAAGAACUGUUGGAAUUUGCAAACUUUUAAACUUUCAUUGUGACAAAUAUCUAUAUCAUAAACUAUCUACUUAUCACAUUGACAUGCUUUUUUGGUUAGGAUACACAUGAUGUAGCAACUAUCUUUUCAUGUAGGGG